AAAUUAUGGUGAGAGCACCUCCUUAAAAGUUCUUGAAAUCAUUCUCAUGCCUCAAAUAGGGACUCCGACUUGUACUACUGAAAACUGAAAAUUUUUGUCAUAAACUU